CGAGUAUGUAGCUCAGUUGGUAGAGCAGUGGACUUUUAAUCCAUUGGCCUUGGGUUCAAGUCCCAACAUACUCA
rnacentral:tRNA from 1 species